CUCAGAUCCAGAUUGGUAUCAUUGUGCUUCUAGCCACCCCCAAGUUUUGGAGGCAUCCUUACCUCUUUAUGUAAAGCCCACAACAGAAAAUUGGGAGAGUGGGUGGGAUGCUUGUCCUGGUAAGCUGAGGGAAAAGGUUUACCCAGCCACAUAUAUAAUUACAGUGCUGCACAAGCUUGAUUAACUCUAGCCAAUCAUAUUAUCAGAUUU